rnacentral:rRNA from 1 species
UACGUAGGGUGCAAGCGUUGUCCGGAAUUAUUGGGCGUAAAGAGCUCGUAGGCGGUCUGUCGCGUCUGCUGUGAAAACUCGGGGCUUAACCCCGGGCCUGCAGUGGGUACGGGCAGACUAGAGUGCGGUAGGGGAGACUGGAAUUCUCGGUGUAGCGGUGAAAUGCGUAGAUAUCGAGAGGAACACCUGCGGCGAAGGCGGGUUGCUGGGCUGACACUGACGCUGAUGCGCGAAAGCCAGGGGAGCAAACGGG